rnacentral:rRNA from 1 species
UGCUAGUAAUCGCGGAUCAGCAUGCCGCGGUGAAUACGUUCCCGGGCCUUGUACACACCGCCCGUCACACCAUGGGAGCCGGUAAUACCCGAAGUCAGUAGUCCAACCUCGUGAGGACGCUGCCGAAGGUAGGAUUGGCGACUGGGGUGAAGUCGUAACAAGGUAGC